GAGAGCUUUAGGUUUGAUUAAUAAUGGUGAAUUUGAUGAUGAUGAUGAUGAUGGUGAAGAUGAUGAUGAAAGUGAGGUGGAUAUUGGUGGGGAUUCGUUGAAUCAGUUUGGUGAUGAUGAAACUAUUCAGGUGAUGUGAAAGGUGUCGAGGAAUUGUUGAAGGAAGGGACGGAUGUGAAUAGUAUUGAUUUGGAUGGAAGGACUGCGUGAUGAGUGCUAAAAAGUACCAAAUAAAGUCUGGAUGAUUUGCGGAGCAGAAAAGUAGUG